rnacentral:rRNA from 1 species
GGUCCAGACUCCUACGGGAGGCAGCAGUGGGGAAUAUUGCACAAUGGGGGAAACCCUGAUGCAGCGACGCCGCGUGGGCGAAGAAGUCUUUCGGUAUGUAAAGCCCUAUCAGCAGGGAAGAAGAAAUGACGGUACCUGAGUAAGAAGCACCGGCUAAAUACGUGCCAGCAGCCGCGGUAAUACGUAUGGUGCAAGCGUUAUCCGGAUUUACUGGGUGUAAAGGGGGCGCAGACGGCGAUGCAAGCCAGGAGUGAAAGCCCGGGGCCCAACCCCGGGACUGCUCUUGGAACUGCGUGGCUGGAGUGCAGGAGGGGCAGGCGGAAUUCCUGGUGUAGCGGUGAAAUGCGUAGAUAUCAGGAGGAACACCGGUGGCGAAGGCGGCCUGCUGGACUGCAACUGACGUUGAGGCCCGAAAGCGUGGGGAGCAAACAGGAUUAGAUACCCCGGUA